rnacentral:rRNA from 1 species
GAUGAACGCUGGCGGCGUGCCUAAUACAUGCAAGUCGAGCGAACGGACGAGAAGCUUGCUUCUCUGAUGUUAGCGGCGGACGGGUGAGUAACACGUGGAUAACCUACCUAUAAGACUGGGAUAACUUCGGGAAACCGGAGCUAAUACCGGAUAAUAUUUUGAACCGCAUGGUUCAAAAGUGAAAGACGGUCUUGCUGUCACUUAUAGAUGGAUCCGAGCUGCAUUAGCUAGUUGGUAAGGUAACGGCUUACCAAGGCAACGAUGCAUAGCCGACCUGAGAGGGUGAUCGGCCACACUGGAACUGAGACACGGUCCAGACUCCUACGGGAGGCAGCAGUAGGGAAUCUUCCGCAAAGGGCGAAAGCCUGACGGAGCAACGCCGCGUGAGUGAUGAAGGUCUUCGGAUCGUAAAACUCUGUUAUUAGGGAAGAACAUAUGUGUAAGUAACUGUGCACAUCUUGACGGUACCUAAUCAGAAAGCCACGGCUAACUACGUG